GAUGAACGCUAGCGGGAGGCCUAACACAUGCAAGCCGAGCGGUAUUGUUUCUUCGGAAAUGAGAGAGCGGCGUACGGGUGCGGAACACGUGUGCAACCUGCCUUUAUCUGGGGGAUAGCCUUUCGAAAGGAAGAUUAAUACUCCAUAACAUAUUGAUUGGCAUCAAUUAAUAUUGAAAGCUCCGGCGGAUAGAGAUGGGCACGCGCAAGAUUAGCUAGUUGGUGAGGUAACGGCUCACCAAGGCGAUGAUCUUUAGGGGGCCUGAGAGGGUGAUCCCCCACACUGGAACUGAGACACGGACCAGACUCCUACGGGAGGCAGCAGUGAGGAAUAUUGGUCAAUGGGUGCAAGCCUGAACCAGCCAUCCCGCGUGAAGGACGACUGCCCUAUGGGUUGUAAACUUCUUUUGUAUAGGGAUAAACCUCCCCUCGUGAGGGGAGCUGAAGGUACUGUACGAAUAAGCACCGGCUAACUCCGUGCCAGCAGCCGCCGUAACAC
rnacentral:rRNA from 1 species